UGGGGAAUUUUGGACAAUGGGCGCAAGCCUGAUCCAGCAAUGCCGCGUGCAGGAUGAAGGCCUUCGGGUUGUAAACUGCUUUUGUACGGAGCGAAAAGGUCUGCCCUAAUACGGUGGGCUCAUGACGGUACCGUAAGAAUAAGCACCGGCUAACUACGUGCCAGCAGCCGCGGUAAUACGUAGGGUGCGAGCGUUAAUCGGAAUUACUGGGCGUAAAGCGUGCGUAGGUGGUUUGUUAAGUCUGAUGUGAAAGCCCUGGGCUCAACCUGGGAAUUGCAUUGGAUACUGGCAGGCUAGAGUGCGGUAGAGGAUGGCGGAAUUCCCGGUGUAGCAGUGAAAUGCGUAGAUAUGCGGAGGAACACCGAUGGCGAAGGCAAUCCCCUGGACCUGUACUGACGCUCAUGCACGAAAGCGUGGGGAGCAAACA
rnacentral:rRNA from 1 species